CCCGCUGGCGUUAGUCCAAACUCUGGCCCAGGUCCCUGUGACAACUUGCCUCCCCUGGUGGUAGCCGCUCCUCAGAUUUGCAUCGGCUAUGCUCAGCGCCCCACUGUCUGGCAGGGCUCUCGUGGACCAUGGGUUGCAGGAGGGAUGAGGAAAGCACAGAAUCCUAUUCAGAGCACCAAAACGGUUAAGUCCCCCAACAGUCCGAGCCAGCUGCACGUUUCAGGGACAUGGAUGGAUCUGGAGAACAUCAUCCUCAGCAAACUGACACAAGAACAGAAAAUGAAACGCUGCAUAUUCUCACUCAUAGAGUGAAGAUUCAGAAAAGGAUCUGAUGAGCCUGGCCAAAUGCAGUGUGAACUGGCUAGCUGGUGUUCUGCAUAGGCAUGGGGUGGGACUGGAACUGCUGCAACUGUCUUGCUGCCAGCCUGAGGAUGAAUAUCAUACAGAGUAGAGCAUCCCAGGGGACACUCAGUGACAUGGAGACAGAGCCACUGGAUUGUCUUCCAACCAGCCACCAUUUUGUGAGCGCUCCUAUGAAGAAACCCAUGUGGCAAGAAACUGAGAGCAGCUUCUGGAUAAUAACCAAUGAGGAAGUGAGGCACUUGGUCCAUUUGUUUAUGAGGAACUGAAUCCUGCCAGCAACUACAGCCUCAGACAAUACCUCGAUUGCAGCCUUGAAAGAAUCCCAGAGAAAGAAUGGACCCAACUAGGCCAUGUUGAAUUUCUGACCCACAGAAACUGUGGAAUAACAAAUAUUGUUUUAAGCCACUAAAUUUGAUGGUAAUUUAUUAUGCUACAACAGAUAACUAAAUCAAGAAUGCUUAACUAUAUAUCUUAUACAGUAGGAAAGUAGAUAAAGUGUGGUAUAUCUAUAUACAAUAUAAACUAGCAUAAGA